AACGCACAUUGCGCCCCGUGGUAUUCUGCGGGGCAUGCCUGUCCGAGCGUCAUUUCAACCCUCAAGCCCGGCUUGGUGUUGGGCCCCGCCCGUCUGCGGCCGGCCCCAAAGGCAGUGGCGGCGCCGCCCGGCCCUGAGCGCAGUACCGUCCUCGCUCCAGGGUCGGGCGGCGGCCGGCCAGGAACCCCUCACUCAGUGGUUGACCUCGGAUCAGGUAGGGGUACCCGCUGAACUUAA
rnacentral:misc_RNA from 1 species